rnacentral:rRNA from 1 species
AAAGAUUAAGCCAUGCAUGUCUAAGUAUAAGCAACUUAUACCGUGAAACUGCGAAUGGCUCAUUAAAUCAGUUAUCGUUUAUUUGAUAGUACCUUACUACUUGGAUAACCGUGGUAAUUCUAGAGCUAAUACAUGCUAAAAACCCCGACUUCGGAAGGGGUGUAUUUAUUAGAUAAAAAACCAUCGUCUUCGGACUUCUUGGUGAUUCAUAAUAACUAAACGUAGCGCAUGGCCUUGUGCUGGCGCAAAAUCAUUCAAAUACCUGCCCUAUCAAGCUUCGAUGUGAGGGUAGUGUCCUCACAUGCUUUUGACGGGUAACGGGGAAUUAGGGUUCGACUCCGGAGAGGGAGCCUGAGAAAUGGCUACCACAUCCAAGGAAGGCAGCAGGCGCGCAAAUUACCCAAUCCCGACACGGGGAGGUAGUGACAAGAAAUACCGAUACAGAACUCUUUUGGGUUUUGUAAUUGGAAUGAGUACAAUUUAAAAACAUUAACGAUAAACAAUUGGAGGGCAAGUCUGGUGCCAGCACCCGCGGUAACUCCAGCUCCAAUAGCGUAUAUUAAAGUUGUUGCAGUUAAAAAGCUCGUAGUUGAACCUUGGUCUUGGCUAGCCGGUCCGCCUCACCGCGUGCACUGGUCGGCCGAGACUUUCCUCUUGGGGAACCGCAUGCCCUUUACUGGGUGUGUUGGGAAACCAGGACUUUUACUUUGAAAAAAUUAGAGUGUUCAAAGCAGGCAAUUGCUCGGAUACAUUAGCAUGGAAUAAUAGAAUAGGACGUGUGGUUCUAUUUUGUUGGUUUCUAGGACCGCCGUAAUGAUUAAUAGGGAUAGUUGGGGGCAUCAGUAUUCAAUUGUCAGAGGUGAAAUUCUUGGAUUUAUUGAAGACUAACUACUGCGAAAGCAUUUGCCAAAGAUGUUUUCAUUAAUCAGGAACGAAAGUUAGGGGAUCGAAGACGAUCAGAUACCGUCGUAGUCUUAACCGUAAACUAUGCCGACUAGGGAUCGGGUGUGGUUUAUUUUAUGACCCACUCGGCACCUUACGAGAAAUCAAAGUUUUUGGGUUCU